GCUUGAAUAGCUCAGUUGGGAGAGCAAUCGGCUGUUAACCGAUCGGUCGUAGGUUCGAGUCCUACUUCAAGCGCCA
rnacentral:tRNA from 1 species